rnacentral:rRNA from 4 species
ACGACUCUCGGCAACGGAUAUCUCGGCUCACGCAUCGAUGAAGAACGUAGCAAAAUGCGAUACUUGGUGUGAAUUGCAGAAUCCCGUGAACCAUCGAGUUUUUGAACGCAAGUUGCGCCCGAAGCCAUUUGGUUGAGGGCACGUCUGCCUGGGCGUCACA